GGGCUCGCGAAGCAGGUAUAACAGGUACAGAUGCUUGUGUAGCAGGUAUAGGAGAUACAGAUGCUUGUGUAGCAGGUAUAGCAGGUACAGGGGCUCGCGUAGCAGGUAAUGCAGGUACAGGGGCUUGCGUAGCAGGUAUAGCAGGUACAGAGGCUCACGUAGCAGGUAAAGCAGGUCAUAAAUUUGUCUCACAUUCACAAACCAAAUACAGGCUAAAGCAAUUAAGACAUUAGAAGAACCAAUUAACAUAAUACUCAUUUAUUAUAAUGACAUCAGAUCAACCUGGGACCGAAUUCUAUACCAUAUAUAUGUACAAUUUGUGCAAUUCUACUAGCUUCACACAGAGGGGAGGGGUCUCACGUGCAGUGAGGAGCCACUCACCUCGUUGGACAUCCGGAUGGACACCUCAUCGUACUCCCACUGGCUCUCAGCAGCUGCAGGGCGGGAAGAGGCUGAACUUCCAGGAGCAGCUGACCAGCUGACCUGAGAGACCGAGCAGGAGUGUAGUGGUAGAGGAGAUCAGAGAGGUAAGGCGGUGCAAGAUUGCGAAAAGAUUUUAAAACAAACAUAUUCAUGUUAAAAUGGAUUCUAUAAUAUAGAGGCAGCCAGUGGAGUGAGGCCAGGACAGGGGUUAUGUGCUCUCGUAUACGAGUCCCUGUUAAAAGACGUGCAGCGGCAUUCUGUACCAGCAGCAGACGUGAGAGUAACGACUGACUGACUCCCGCAUGAAGUCAACAAUACUAGGUUUACAGUUUGCUGCCAAGGGUCCCAACAGGAGGAUCAACAGGGGAGGAGUCACAGGGGCCCCUGGGGCCCAACACCAUCACCAUUAAAAUUGAAAAGGAGGGCAACCAAGUUUUAAUGUCAUCUAGACAUGCCAAAACAGGUUUUAUGGAGAGUGCAUCCUUCUGUC